UCUCCGUUGGUGAACCAGCGGAGGGAUCAUCACCGAGUUUACAACUCCCAAACCCCCGUGAACAUACCAUUUGUUGCCUCGGCGGUGCCUGCUUCGGCAGCCCGCCAGAGGACCCAAACCCUUGAUUUUAUACAGUAUCUUCUGAGUAAAUGAUUAAAUAAAUCAAAACUUUCAACAACGGAUCUCUUGGUUCUG
rnacentral:misc_RNA from 1 species